rnacentral:rRNA from 1 species
UGCGUAGGCGGGCUAAUAAGUCAGUCGUGAAAUCUCUCGGCUCAACCGGGAAACUGCCAUUGAUACUGUUAGUCUUGAGUUCGGUUGAGGUAGGCGGAAUGUGUAAUGUAGCGGUGAAAUGCUUAGAUAUUACACAGAACACCAAUUGCGUAGGCAGCUUACUAGACCGACACUGACGCUGAGGCACGAAAGCGUGGGGAGCGAACAGGAUUAGAUACCCUGGUAGUCC